UUUCGCAAUGCCCGAAAGGGUGACGAAGCGACGCCGCGUGUGGGAAGAAGGCCUUCGGGUUGUAAACCACUGUCAGGAGUUAAGAAAUGCAGGUGCGUUAAUAGCGCCCUUACUUGACUAAGGCUCCAGAGGAAGCCACGGCUAACUCUGUGCCAGCAGCCGCGGUAAUACAGAGGCGGCAAGCGUUGUUCGGAAUUAUUGGGCGUAAAGAGCACGUAGGCGGCCCUGAAAAUCAGUUGUGAAAGCCUUCUGCUUAACGUAAGAACAGCAUCUGAUACUCCAGGGCUGAGUGCGGGAGGGGAGAGUGGAACUUCUGGUGGAGCGGUGAAAUGCGUAGAUAUCAGAAGGAACGCCGGCGGCGAAAGCGGCUCUCUGGUCCGUAACUGACGCUGAGUGUGCGAAAAGCUAGGGGAGCAAACGGGAUUAGAUACCCCGGUAGUCCUAGCCGUAAACGAUGGGCACUAAGUAGAGGGGUUUU
rnacentral:rRNA from 1 species